CCCCGGCCUGGGGCUUUCCGCGCCCAGAAAGCCGCCUGCCCGGGAAAAUCCCGGCCCCCUUCCCGGCGCCGCGGCCCUGCCCGGCAGAGAAGGGGGAGGGGAUUCCCGGAAUCUGCCCGGAGACCGCGCUGGCGUCACUGAGCUGAAUAGGCCCAUAUAUGGGCAGCGCUUCCGUAACGUCAGCGGGGAAAGCCCCGGCGCACGGGGCUGGGCGGGGCCGUGCUUGCACAUUCCGGGUUUUGUCCUGGGCCUGGAUAGCUUGUUCUCGGCCACUGCCUGCCUGCGCAGCGUCUGGUGCCAGGACUCAGGGGAUGGGAGGUUUGAGCGCUUGUACUGGACCUUAAGAUACCCGAAAGGAGAGAACUACAAACUGCCCCGGGCUUGGGGCAGCCCAAUCUUCUCCCUCCAUCCGCCCAGCUUGGAAGAAAGAGACCACAGAAAUUAAUAAAGACUUUUUUUUUACUUAAAUAGAUUCAAUAAAAAGUCAAACACACACACAAACACAUCUUAAAAUAGACUUUAGACACGAAGUGCGUGUUUCUUCUCCACAGUACUGUGCAGAGGGGGAGGGCAGGGGGCGGAGGUUCCUCCCUAGUAUCCCCACAGGCUGAGUACCAGGCGGCGGGGCCAGCUCCGCCGCGACAACCCCCUUCUCCCCUCCCUGUUAAAUACACAAAUAUAUUAUAUUCAAUAUGAAUUCAGUCUCUUUCCAGAAAAAAAAAACAUACAAAAUACGCUGGAAGGGGGCCAUGUAAACCUCGAGGUGGAAGGACUGGGCGCAGGCGGGCAGGCCAGAGUCCAGUGUGUGAGCUGCGCCCCAGACCUCUGGGCGAGUGCCCAUCGCCUGCCCCCCUCACCCCAGUGGGGGGCGGGCGCCCAGCCUUCAAGGCUGGGGGUGUCCGUAUGGAGCAAGGGAGGCUCUCAGAAGGCGUGUCCCUUGACCCCUAGCAGCAACUGGCAGCCGUUGCUGACGUGGGUCAUGACCUUCUGCUUGAGCUGCGCCACUUGCUCCCGUAGGAGGCCGGCAGUACUUGACAGCCCCGCGUUCUCAGCCUUGAGUGUCUUCACCUUGUCCUCCAGGCGCGCGAUGCGCUCCAGCUUCCGCUUCCGGCAUUUGGUGGCCGCCAGCCUGUUCCGCAGCCGCUUUCGCUCCACUUUGAUGCGCUCCUGGUCUUCCAUGUUGAUGGGGGACACAGGCGGCGUGGCGUCGCGGCUGCGUGCCUCCGGUACGGUCUGCGGUUCCUCUUUAAAGGCGGAAGCGCCGCGACUCAAGCCCAGCUGCGCCGGGUGGCCGCCCGCAAAGGGUGGUGCAUGUGGGAGGUAGCUGAUGGUGGCCGUCGGGUAUGAGCUCCCAGUCCCGACGGCGGUCCCGGAACCUCCAGAGGGUGCAGAGGCUGGGGAGUAACUGCUGAGGUUGGUGUAGACCGGAGGCGGCUCCGGACCAGCAUAGACGCCCCCAGGCCCGGCCUGGGGACCCCCGCUGGCGCCCAGAGACACGUUGGGGGGCGUCACGUGGUUCAUCUUGUGCAGGUCGUCCAGGGCUUUGACAAAACCGUCCGCAAAGCCCUCCUGCUCCUCGGUGACGCCGCCCCCUGUACCUCCGCCGCUGCCGCCCCCACGGGGGUAAAAGUACUGUCCCGGAGGCGUGGGCGUCGUCGUGAUCACGCCGUUGCUGUUGGGGACGAUCAAGCGCUCCAGUUCCGUGGAGGCUAGCUUCAGAGAUGCGCCUGUGUCUGAUCCCUGACCCGAAAAGUAGCUGCCUGCCCCACUGCCCUCUGGGCCUGGACCCCGCGCCCCAGGACCCUUGAGACCCCGAUAAGGAUCUGCCAGGUUGAGCGCUAAGGUGGGUUUCAGGAGUUUGUAGUCGUGAAGAGAAAGACUGCCAGGGCUCCGACCGUAUCCUGCCGCUGCGUAUGAGUCGUCGUGAUAGAAAGGCUGUUCCAUUUUCGUGCACAUCCGGGCGGCCUGGGCGAUCUGGGAAAGGUCCCCCUGAAGGGCCGCUCCGGGCCUCGCUGCGGCGACCGGCGAGCUGUCCUCGGCUGUGGCGGGACCCGGCGUCCGGUCGCGCGUCCUCGGGAGCUGGAGACGGUCGGCAGCGGCCAGUUGGUAGCUGUGCGUAAAAGCGCUGCCCGGCUUCUGGAGCUUUUCUCUCCCUCCGUGGUGCGCCCGCUUUCUCAGCGUCUCUUCUCUCAGCUCCCCGCUCCCUGCAGGAUCCAAAGCUGGCCUGGCCACCCUCAAGGUCCCCAGUGUUCGGCCCCAGCCCCAAGCUUUUAUACUGAAUUUGUCAGCUGCGGAAGUGCACUCCGAUUGGCCGACGCGGGAGCCAGGCCCCCGCGGCCCCCUCCUAGAGCGUGGGGAAGGGGAGGAGGCGGCUCGCGUCACUGUCAGGAAGCGCGUGUCCUUGUAAACAGCGGCCACGAGCCCGGUGGCUCUGCGCGGCUGCAGGGGGAGGGGCUGUAGAGACAGAGACACUCAAGCAAAGGGAUGUUGAGGGACCGAGGCACAUAGGAGUUAGGACUGCGGGAGUACAACCCGGUGGCUAUGAGAUCUCUGUACACUGCAAGUGGAGAUGGGGUGCCUCAGGAUAUACCCGGAAUAGUCUCGCGGGACCCACAAUAGCUGUGACUUGUGAACUGACAAUAUACUAGAAGACCCCAGAAAACAGGGAAGGUACAAAACGGGAGCAAUUGUUAACAUUUGACCUAGGAAUUAACUAGAGGCCCCGAGUGCAAAGUGCUUAAAGAACAGGUGGGAGAGAAGGUUCAGGAAGCAGGGUCAGGUACCUAUUGUAUAAGAAAUGAGUAGGGGCUCUAAAGCCCACAGAUGAGUCUGAGGGUUCUCCCAUAAGUGGAAAAGGGGAGUAAUUUUGGGGAGGUCAAUUUAGAUAUGCAGAAAGUGAACAAGGGUCCUGGAAACGCUGAGGCAAUAGGAGUAGAAGAUGGGAACAUAUCUAGCAAAGAUUGGGGUCACUGUGAUUAUUUGCAGAACUCUGAUGGAAAGUUAAAAUGGUCAGGACAUGGCUUCCUUCUGAGCUGUAAAGGCGAUGCCAGGAGGGUAUCUGAGAUCUACCCGAGAGGACGACUUGGAGGAUCCCAGAGACAAGGGGCUUGUAAGAAUGAGACUGUACCUCGUAAGUGGUCUCUAGGCACUGACAUACCCUGUACCUGAGUCCAAAGCCUCCCCUUAGUCACUCUGGGCUCGCCCGAUAUCCUGUCAGCUUUUGGAGGGCCGAAGAGGCGGGAUAGCUGGGGUGCGGUCGCCCAACCCCACUCCCUUCCUUAGAAAC
ensembl:lncRNA